AGCAACGGCCUGGCAACGGUUUCCCUGCUGCUGCAGCCCCCGUCGGCUCCUCUUUUCCAGUCCUCCACUGCCGGGGCUGGGCCCGGCCGCGGGAAGGACCGAAGGGGAUACAGCGUGUCCCUGCGGCGGCUGCAAGAGGACUAAGCAUGGAUGGCAGCCGGAGAGGUAAAGGGCAGCUGUCAGGGGCUACCGCCGCCUCGCCCCUCGCUCCAGGCGGCGCUCCCAGCCUCGGGUCCGGGCAGCUGAGUGCAAGGCCGCCCCUUGGGGCGCUUCCUACCCCUGGCUGAGUCGCCAGUGUUGCCUGGAGCUGCCCAGGCCUGCGCAAAGGAAGAGGGAGAGCCUGCUUGCCAGCCUCGCAGUCAGAGCAACCUCUGUCCUUCCCAGAUAUGGUCCACCGUGCCUAUUUAAAGGACACUUGAGCACCAAAAGUAAUGCUGCAGUAGACUGCUCGGUUCCAGUAAGCGUGAGUACCAGCAUAAAGUGUAUUUAGCACUGUAAACUUGCCUCUUAACACUGCUUUUGCUGCAUCCCAGAAAUUUUGAUGCAGACCAACAACGAAGAGAGAAACUCAAAAAGGAAUUAGCACAAUGUG
rnacentral:lncRNA from 10 species